UACGUAGGGUGCAAGCGUUGUCCGGAAUUAUUGGGCGUAAAGAGCUCGUAGGCGGUUUGUCGCGUCUGCUGUGAAAGUUCGGGGCUCAACCCCGGAACUGCAGUGGGUACGGGCAGACUAGAGUGCGGUAGAGGAGACUGGAAUUCCUGGUGUAGCGGUGGAAUGCGCAGAUAUCAGGAGGAACACCAGUGGCGAAGGUGGGUCUCGGGGCCGCAACUGACGUUGAGGAGCGAAAGCGUGGGGAGCGAACAGG
rnacentral:rRNA from 1 species